rnacentral:rRNA from 1 species
GGCAUCGUGCAUAACACAUGCAAGUCGAACGGGAAUUUUUUGUGUAGCAAUACAUGAAAAAUUCUAGUGGCAGACGGGUGAGUAAUACAUAAGGAAUCUACCUUGAAGUGGGGAACAACUAGUCGAAAGAUUAGCUAAUACUCCAUAAUAUCACUUAGUGGCAUCACUUAGUGAUUAAAGAUUUAUCGCUUCAAGACGAUCUUAUGGUCUAUCAGCUAGUUGGUAGGGUAAUGGCCUACCAAGGCGACGACGGAUAGCCGGCCUGAAAGGGCGACCGGCCACAGGGGCACUGAGACACGGGCCCCACUCCUACGGGAGGCAGCAGUGGGGAAUUUUGGACAAUGGACGCAAGUCUGAUCCAGCAACGAUGCGUGGAGGAUGAAGGUUUUCGGAUUGUAAACUCCUUUUGCAGGGGAAGAAAAAAAUGACGGUACUCUGCGAAUAAGCCACGGCUAACUACGUGCCAGCAGCCGCGGUAAGACGUAGGUGGCAAGCGUUACUCGGAAUUACUAGGCGUAAAGCGCGCGUAGGCGGAUUGUUAAGUCUGUUGUGUAAUCUCUGGGCCCAACCCAGAAACUGCAAUUGAAACUGGCGAUCUUGAGUGAGGCGGAGGAAAUCGGAAUUCCAAGUGUAGCAGUGAAAUGCGUAGAUAUUUGGAGGAACACCGGUGGCGAAGGCGGAUUUCUGGGCCUUUACUGACGCUGAAGUGCGAAAGCUAGGGGAGCAAACGGGAUUAGAUACCCCGGUAGUCCUAGCCGUAAACGAUGAUAACUAGGUGUGGGAGGUAUCGACCCCUUCCGUGCCGACGCUAACGCAUUAAGUUAUCCGCCUGGGGAGUACGGCCGCAAGGUUAAAACUCAAAGGAAUUGACGGGGACCCGCACAAGGGGUGGAUUAUGUGGUUUAAUUCGACGCUACGCGAAAAACC